rnacentral:misc_RNA from 1 species
CAAUUUCUCCUUUCCCUUAGCAUUCAGAGAGAUCAGGACUUGAGGACAGUUAAAUGCAUAGUUAUUACAUAGAAAAAGAAAAACCAUCCAACCACAUUGAACACUGAAUAUUAAUAUUGACCUGUCUCCCUACUAAAACAAAAAGUACUUCUUGACAUUCUCAAAUGAAUAUGGACUUUAGUCCUAUGAUGACAAUUCCAACAAGAGAGCCAACAAAACAAUACAGUGACCAGCACAGGAUGUUAAAACUAACCAAACAAGAGAAGACAUCAGCUGGUUCUUACAGCCAGCAGUUAGUAAGGU